CCUACGGGAGGCAGCAGUGAGGAAUAUUGGUCAAUGGGCGGAAGCCUGCACCAGCCAAGUAGCGUGCAGGAUGACGGCCCUACGGGUUGUAAACUGCUUUUAUACGGGAAUAACGCGCCUUACGUGUAGGGCUUUGCAUGUACCGUAUGAAUAAGGACCGGCUAAUUCCGUGCCAGCAGCCGCGGUACUACGGCAGGUCCGGGCGUUGGCCGGAUUUAUUGGGUUUAAAGGGAGCGUAGGCCGCAUGUCAAACGUGCGGUGAAAUGUCCGGGCUCAACCCGGGCCUUGCAGCGCGAACUGGCGUGCUUGAGUCCGCGGAAAGCAGGCGGAAUUCGUCGUGUAGCGGGGAAAUGCUUAGAUAUGACGAAGAACCCCGAGUGCGAAGGCAGCUUGCUGCAGCGGAACUGACGCUGAUGCUCGAAAGCGCGGGUAUCGAACAGGAUUAGAUACCCCAGUAGUC
rnacentral:rRNA from 1 species